UGCUCCGGGGCCUAGUGGUCACAGCGUCCGCCUCGGAUGCGGGAAGUCGCGGGUUCGAACCCCAGCCGAGUAA